GACGAACGCUGGCGGCGUGCUUAACACAUGCAAGUCGAACGGAAAGGCCCUGAUAGUGUGCGCUGCUCGAUUGGCGAUCGGGUGCGUAACACGCGAGCAACCUGCCCUGGACUUUGGGGUAACUUCACGAAACUGGGCCUAAUACCGGAUCGGAGCUGCUCCUGCAUGGUGGGCGGUGGAAAGUUUCGGCGGUUGGGGAUGGACUCGCGGCUUAUCAGCUUGUUGGUGGGGUAGUGGCUUACCAAGGCUUUGACGGGUAGCCGGCCUGAGAGGGUGACCGGCCACAAUACUCCUGAGAUACGGCACAGUCUCCUACGGUAGAGAGUGGUCGGGACUCUGCCCCAACAGGCACAAGCCUGCCGCCCCGGCGCCGGGGGCGUGAUGGCCCCAUUAGGGUUGCGAAGCGAUGUCGGCUGUGACGCAGCGUACCUGCCGGUAGUGGUUAAAGAAGCAACGGCUACCUUCGUG
rnacentral:rRNA from 1 species